rnacentral:rRNA from 1 species
UGGGGAAUAUUGCACAAUGGGCGCAAGCCUGAUGCAGCCAUGCCGCGUGUGUGAAGAAGGCCUUCGGGUUGUAAAGCACUUUCAGCGAGGAGGAAGGUGGUGGACUUAAUACGUUCAUCAAUUGACGUUACUCGCAGAAGAAGCACCGGCUAACUCCGUGCCAGCAGCCGCGGUAAUACGGAGGGUGCAAGCGUUAAUCGGAAUUACUGGGCGUAAAGCGCACGCAGGCGGUUUGUUAAGUCAGAUGUGAAAUCCCCGGGCUCAACCUGGGAACUGCAUUUGAAACUGGCAAGCUAGAGUCUCGUAGAGGGGGGUAGAAUUCCAGGUGUAGCGGUGAAAUGCGUAGAGAUCUGGAGGAAUACCGGUGGCGAAGGCGGCCCCCCUGGACGAAGGACUGACGCUCAGGUGCGAAAAGGCGUGGGGGAGCAAACAGGAUUAGAUACCCUGGUAGUCACGCUGUAAACGAUGUCNAUUUGGAGGUUGUGCCCUUGAGGCGUGGCUUCCGGAGCUAACGCGUUAAAUCGACCGCCU